rnacentral:rRNA from 1 species
CCUGGCUCAGAUUGAACGCUGGCGGCAGGCCUAACACAUGCAAGUCGAGCGGAUGAAGGGAGCUUGCUCCUGGAUUCAGCGGCGGACGGGUGAGUAAUGCCUAGGAAUCUGCCUGGUAGUGGGGGAUAACGUCCGGAAACGGGCGCUAAUACCGCAUACGUCCUGAGGGAGAAAGUGGGGGAUCUUCGGACCUCACGCUAUCAGAUGAGCCUAGGUCGGAUUAGCUAGUUGGUGGGGUAAAGGCCUACCAAGGCGACGAUCCGUAACUGGUCUGAGAGGAUGAUCAGUCACACUGGAACUGAGACACGGUCCAGACUCCUACGGGAGGCAGCAGUGGGGAAUAUUGGACAAUGGGCGAAAGCCUGAUCCAGCCAUGCCGCGUGUGUGAAGAAGGUCUUCGGAUUGUAAAGCACUUUAAGUUGGGAGGAAGGGCAGUAAGUUAAUACCUUGCUGUUUUGACGUUACCAACAGAAUAAGCACCGGCUAACUUCGUGCCAGCAGCCGCGGUAAUACGAAGGGUGCAAGCGUUAAUCGGAAUUACUGGGCGUAAAGCGCGCGUAGGUGGUUCAGCAAGUUGGAUGUGAAAUCCCCGGGCUCAACCUGGGAACUGCAUCCAAAACUACUGAGCUAGAGUACGGUAGAGGGUGGUGGAAUUUCCUGUGUAGCGGUGAAAUGCGUAGAUAUAGGAAGGAACACCAGUGGCGAAGGCGACCACCUGGACUGAUACUGACACUGAGUGCGAAAUGCCCAC